rnacentral:rRNA from 1 species
GACGAACGCUGGCGGCGUGCUUAACACAUGCAAGUCGUACGGUAAGGCCCUUUCGGGGGUACACGAGUGGCGAACGGGUGAGUAACACGUACGUAACCUGCCCACAACUUUGGGAUAACGCUAGGAAACUGGUGCUAAUACUGGAUAUGUGCUCCUGCUGCAUGGUGGGGGUUGGAAAGCUCCGGCGGUUGUGGAUGGACUCGCGGCCUAUCAGCUUGUUGGUGGGGUAGUGGCGUACCAAGGCGGCGACGGGUAGCCGGCCUGAGAGGGUGACCGGCCACAUUGGGACUGAGAUACGGCCCAGACGCCGACGGGAGGGAGCAGGGGGGAAGAUUGCACAAGGGGCGCAAGCCUGAUGCAGCAGCGCCGCGUGCGGGAUGACGGCCUUCGGGUUGAAAACCGCUUGCAGCAGGGACGAAGCUUGUUGUGACGGUACCUGCAGAAGAAGCACCGGCUAACUACGUG